rnacentral:rRNA from 1 species
UACGGAGGGUGCAAACGUUGCUCGGAAUCAUUGGGCGUAAAGAGCUCGUAGGCGGUUCGGCAAGUCGGAUGUGAAAUCUCCACGCUUAACGUGGAGGGGCCAUUCGAAACUGCUGUGACUCGAGUCCGGUAGGGGAGACUGGAAUUCCUGGUGUAGCGGUGAAAUGCGCAGAUAUCAGGAGGAACACCGGUGGCGAAGGCGGGUCUCUGGGCCGAUACUGACGCUGGAGGAGCGAAAGCGUGGGGAGCGAACAGG